UCCCCGUUGCCGGGGCAGUCUAGUUAGAAAAAUUCAACUAACUACAAGGGUUGCGCUCGUUAAUGGACUUAACCAAACAUCUCACGACACGAGCUGACGACGGCCAUGCAUCACCUGUCACCUGAUUCCCGAAGGCACAGUCUCCUUUCGGAGACCUUCCAGGGAUGUCAAGCCUUGGUAAGGUUCUACGCUUAACAUCGAAUUAAACAACACGCUCCACCGCUUGUGCGGGUCCCCGUCAAUUCCUUUGUGUUUUAGUCUUGCGACCGUACUCCACAGGCGGGAUGCUUAACGCGUUAGCUUCGCUACUACUCGGAUCGAUACGAAUAACAGCUAGCAUCCAUAGUUUAGGGCGUGGACUAC
rnacentral:misc_RNA from 1 species